UACGUAGGGAGCAAGCGUUGUCCGGAAUCAUUGGGCGUAAAGCGCGCGUAGGUGGUCCCGUAAGUCCGCUGUGAAAGCCAAAGGCUCAACCUUUGAAAGCCGGUGGAUACUGUGGGACUAGAGUACGGAAGAGGCGAGUGGAAUUCCUGGUGUAGCGGUGGAAUGCGCAGAUAUCAGGAGGAACACCAAUAGCGAAGGCAGCUCGCUGGGACGUUACUGACACUGAGGCGCGAAAGCGUGGGGAGCAAACAGG
rnacentral:rRNA from 1 species